CUUCACAUUCACCUGGUGAACACAUCAUUUGCUUACAAUCUAAUUCUACAAGGCUUGUGUCAUUCGGAGGGAGUAAGCUGCGGAUCCACUUAGAUAUUCGAGUCGGAGAACAUGACCUUGAUACAUCCAUUACUCAAGCAAAGGACAAAGUUAAUGAAGUUAGCUUCAAGCUUGAACAUCUAAUCGAGCAAAUUGAGCAAAUAGUCAAAGAACAGAACUAUCAAAGGGACCGUGAAGAAAAAUUUCGAAUGACCAGUGAAGAUACAAACAGCAACGUCUUAUGGUGGGCAUUUAUACAAACAUUAAUCUUUA